CCCGAGUGUCCUCGCCAAUCAUUACUUUUUAGUUAUUUCCUUGGGUGCAAGUCCCAAGGUGGCGUUGUCUGGCUUCCUUUUACCUGAUUCAUCUCGCCACACAAUGAACGAACAGGAGCUUGAACUAGUUAGGAGCUGCUUC